AUGAAAUUAUAUAGAGAGUCAUUAAGUAGUAUCUUAGCUGUCUUCUGUGCUUCAUCAAGAAACCAAAAAAGAAUGUUCAAAGCAUAUCAAACUGCAAAAGUUCUAGAAAAAGUAAUUCCCCUUUCAAGGCCUCAAGAGAAACCAGAGGGCCCUGAGAACAACAAAAACACAGUCAUGGCCUUGAUAAAUAGAAAGUGAGGUAAAUUUAAAAGUGAGAGAUGUUUUUUGUAGGCAAUGAAAAAAACAUUCCAUUUAUGAAUGAAAUUCAAGAUAAUGGGUAUUUUUUAUUUAAAUUCUCUUAAUUAACAUAUAGUGCAUUAUAUAAUUUUAGGGGUAGAAUUUAGUGAUUCAUCAGUAGCGUAUAUGAACACCCAGUGCUCAUCACAUCACGUGCCCUCCUUAAUGCCUCUUAUCUAGUUACCCAUCCCCUUCAGUAACCCUCAGUUUGUUUCCUAUACUAUAGUUAAGAGUCUCUUAUGGUUUAUCUCCCUCUCUGAUUUCCUCUUGUUUUAGUUUUCCCUCCCUUCCCCGAUACUCCUCUGUUUUGUUUCUUAAGUUCCCCAUAUGAGUGCUGAUUAACUUAUUUCACUUAGCAUAAUAUCCUCUAGUUUUAUCUCUUUGAAAAUGGCAAGAUUUCAUUUUUUGAUGGCUUAGUAGUAUUCCAUUGUGUGUGUGUGUGUGUGUGUGUGUGUGUGUGUGUGUAUACCACAUCUUUGUCCAUUCAUCUGAUGGACAUCUGGGCUCUUUCCAUAGUUUGGCUCUUGUGGACAUUGCUGCUAUAAUAUACAUUGGUGUGCAGGUGCCCCUUCAGAUCACAAUAUUUGUAUCUUUGGAGUAAAUCCCUAGUAGUGCAAAUGCUGGUCACAGGGUAGCUCUAUUUUUAACUUUUUGAGGAAACUCCAUACUGUAGUCAGAAUGGCUGCACCAGCUUGCAUUUCCACCAACAGUUUGAGAGGGUAUCCCUUUCACCACAUCUUCACCAACACAUAUCAUUUCCUGACUUGUUAAUUUUAGCCAUUCUGACUGGUGUAAUGUGAUAUCUCAUUGUGGUUUUGAUUUGUAUUUCCCUGAUGCUGAGUGAUGUUGAGCAUUUUUCCAUGUAUCUGUUGGCCAUUUGUAUGUCUUCUUUGGAGAAAUGUCUAUUCAUGUCUUCUGCCCAUUUCUUGAUUAUUUGUACUUUGGGUAUUGAGUUUGAGAA
rnacentral:lncRNA from 1 species